rnacentral:miRNA from 1 species
AUCUCACCAUGCUUCAAUGAUCAUUUCUCUGAGAAAAGGAGAGAUGAUCAUUGAAGAUCCCA